UGUAUAUAUAUGUGUGUGUGUAUAUAUAUAUAUAUAUAUAUAUACACACACACAUACACACACACA